rnacentral:rRNA from 1 species
GACGAACGCUGGCGGCGUGCUUAACACAUGCAAGUCGAACGGAAAGGCCCUGCUUUUGUGGGGUGCUCGAGUGGCGAACGGGUGAGUAACACGUGAGUAACCUGCCCUUGACUUUGGGAUAACUUCAGGAAACUGGGGCUAAUACCGGAUAGGAGCUCCUGCUGCAUGGUGGGGGUUGGAAAGUUUCGGCGGUUGGGGAUGGACUCGCGGCUUAUCAGCUUGUUGGUGGGGUAGUGGCUUACCAAGGCUUUGACGGGUAGCCGGCCUGAGAGGGUGACCGGCCACAUUGGGCCUGAGGUAGGGCGCAGACUCGAACGGGCCGCAGUGGGGGGAAAUAUUGCGGAAUGGCCGGAAGCCUGAGGCAGAAACGCCGCGUGCGGGAUGCCGGCUUACGGGUUGUAAACCGCUGUCGCCUGUGACGAGGAGUGAGUGACGGUAAUGGGUAAAGAAGCACCGGCUAACUACGUG